CGAGUGGCGGACGGGUGAGUAAUGUCUGGGAAACUGCCUGAUGGAGGGGGAUAACUACUGGAAACUCGCGCUAAUACCGCAUACGUCCUACGGGAGAAAGUGGGGGACCCUCGGGCCUCACGCUAACAGAUGAGCCUAGGUCGGAUUAGCUAGUUGGUGGGGUAAAGGCCCACCAAGGCGACGAUCCCUAGCUGGUCUGAGAGGAUGACCAGCCACACUGGAACUGAGACACGGUCCAGACUCCUACGGGAGGCAGCAGUGGGGAAUAUUGCACAAUGGGCGCAAGCCUGAUGCAGCCAUGCCGCGUGUGUGAAGAAGGUCUUCGGAUUGUAAAGCACUUUAAGUUGGGAGGAAGGGCGCUCGGUGAAUACCCAAGCGUCUUGACGUUACCGACAGAAUAAGCACCGGCUAACUUCGUGCCAGCAGCCGCGGUAAUACGGAGGGUGCAAGCGUUAAUCGGAAUUACUGGGCGUAAAGCGCGCGUAGGUGGUUCGGCAAGUUGGAUGUGAAAGCCCCGGGCUCAACCUGGGAACCGCAUCCAAAACUACUGGGCUAGAGUACGGUAGAGGGGGGUAGAAUUCCAGGUGUAGCGGUGAAAUGCGUAGAGAUCUGGAGGAAAUACCGGUGGCGAAGCGACCCCCUGGACAAAGACUGACGCUCAGGUGCGAAAGCGUGGGGAGCAAACAGGAUAGAUACCCUGGUAGUCACGCCGUAAACGAUGUCGACUAGCCGUUGGGCUCCUUGAGAGCUUAGUGGCGCAGCUAACGCAUUAAGUCGACCGCCUGGGGAGUACGGCCGCAAGGUUAAAACUCAAAUGAAUUGACGGGGGCCCGCACAAGCGGUGGAGCAUGUGGUUUAAUUCGAUGCAACGCGAAGAACCUUACCUGGUCUUGACAUCCUGCGAACUUUCAAGAGAUUGAUGGGUGCCUUCGGGAGCGCAGAGACAGGUGCUGCAUGGCUGUCGUCAGCUCGUGUUGUGAAAUGUUGGGUUAAGUCCCGCAACGAGCGCAACCCUUGUCCUUAGUUACCAGCGAUUCGGUCGGGCACUCUAAGGAGACUGCCGGUGACAAACUGGAGGAAGGUGGGGAUGACGUCAAGUCAUCAUGGCCCUUACGACCAGGGCUACACACGUGCUACAAUGGUCGGUACAAAGGGUUGCCAAGUCGCGAGGCGGAGCUAAUCCCAGAAAACCGAUCGUAGUCCGGAUCGCAGUCUGCAACUCGACUGCGUGAAGUCGGAAUCGCUAGUAAUCGUGGAUCAGAAUGCCACGGUGAAUACGUUCCCGGGCCUUGUACACACCGCCCGUCACACCAUGGGAGUGGGUUGC
rnacentral:rRNA from 1 species